CCUACGGGUGGCAGCAGUGGGGAAUAUUGGACAAUGGGGGCAACCCUGAUCCAGCCAUGCCGCGUGUGUGAAGAAGGCCCUCGGGUUGUAAAGCACUUUCAGUGAGGAAGAACGCCUGGUGGUUAAUACCCAUCAGGAAAGACAUCACUCACAGAAGAAGCACCGGCUAACUCCGUGCCGGCAGCCGCGGUAAUACGGAGGGUGCGAGCGUUAAUCGGAAUUACUGGGCGUAAAGCGCGCGUAGGUGGCUUGAUAAGCCGGUUGUGAAAGCCCCGGGCUCAACCUGGGAACGGCAUCCGGAACUGUCAAGCUAGAGUGCAGGAGAGGAAGGUAGAAUUCCCGGUGUAGCGGUGAAAUGCGUAGAGAUCGGGAGGAAUACCAGUGGCGAAGGCGGCCUUCUGGACUGACACUGACACUGAGGUGCGAAAGCGUGGGUAGCAAACAGGAUUAGAUACCCCUGUAGUC
rnacentral:rRNA from 1 species